CGGGCCCCGCGCCCGGCCCGCCGCCCCCGCCCCCCUACGGGAGGCAGCAGUGGGGAAUAUUGGACAAUGGGCGCAAGCCUGAUCCAGCCAUGCCGCGUGUGUGAAGAAGGUCUUCGGAUUGUAAAGCACUUUAAGUUGGGAGGAAGGGCAGUAAGUUAAUACCUUGCUGUUUUGACGUUACCGACAGAAUAAGCUCCGGCUGCUG
rnacentral:rRNA from 1 species